CAGGCCUAACACAUGCAAGUCGAGCGGAGUUAUUUUGAAAGCUUGCUUUCAAAAUAACUUAGCGGCGGACGGGUGAGUAACACGUAGGCAACCUGCCCCUUAGACUGGGAUAACUACCGGAAACGGUAGCUAAUACCGGAUAAUUUCUUUUUUCUCCUGAAGAAAGAAUGAAAGACGGAGCAAUCUGUCACUGAGGGAUGGGCCUGCGGCGCAUUAGCUAGUUGGUGGGGUAACGGCCCACCAAGGCGACGAUGCGUAGCCGACCUGAGAGGGUGAACGGCCACACUGGGACUGAGACACGGCCCAGACUCCUACGGGAGGCAGCAGUAGGGAAUCUUCCGCAAUGGACGAAAGUCUGACGCAGCAACGCCGCGUGAGUGAUGAAGGUUUUCGGAUCGUAAAGCUCUGUUGCCAGGGAAGAACG
rnacentral:rRNA from 1 species